GUCGGGAUAGCUCAGCUGGUAGAGCAGAGGACUGAAA
rnacentral:tRNA from 40 species